rnacentral:tRNA from 1 species
GAGAGCUUAGCUCAGUUGGUAGAGCAUCGCCCUUUUAAGGCGCUGGUCCUGGGUUCGAGCCCCAGAGCUCUCACCA